CAUGAUGGACUAUAGGACAGGACUGCUGCUGCUCACUGUCUGCUGGGCAGGUGUUGGUGGUCAGACUCUGACAGAAUCUGAUCCAGUGACUAAAAGGCCUGGAGAAUCUCACAGAUUGACCUGUACAGCCUCUGGAUUCACAUUCACUAGCUACUACAUGGCCUGGGUCAGACAGGCUCCUGGGAAAGGACUGGAGUGGGUUGCUACUAUCACCAAUGGUGGUAGCACCCCGUACUACUCUGAGUCAUUUAAAGGCCGGUUCACCAUCUCCAGAGACAACAACAGACAGCAGGUGUCUCUGCAGAUGAACAGUCUGACGGCUGUAGACUCUGCUGUUUAUUACUGUGCUCGAGACACACAGUGACUGAAGCUGGUUGAGCA